UCCUUUUCCUCUACUGUUUCUUCUCCCUGAACUCCUCAGAAGAUACUUUGUUAUCACCACAUAAAUAGAAAGUUCGGUCUUUCUAAGGAAAUGGAAAGAUCAAUCUUACCAAGGAAAGAUGUUUUCAGUGGCACGUUGGAGCCAGCCUCCUACUGACUCAUGAGUGUCAUCUUAAAUUUGCAGAAAUUUUAUAAAAAUUCCAGUUGAUGUUACAUUGUUAUUUUGAAAUCAGCCACAGUGGGCAUAUCACACCACGUAAUUCAGCGAACUGUACAAAUCUUGGAUCUUUUCUACCCUCACCACAAUCAGUUGUUUAUUUACCAGCACAUGGCUGGAUAUUUUCUUCAUGUAUAUGUUCAUGUAUGUCAUAUAUGUAUAUAUAUUUGAAUAUAUUUUCUUCAUAUAUGUAUUCAUAUACAUGCAUCACUUCCAAAAUGAGACAUUCUCUUGAACUGGAUAUAUGUGAUUAGCAUCCAUAAGAAUGAGAGAUUCUGCAUAUGUGAGAGCAGAGCGGGGGCAGUGCUUUCCACCACUUCCUUAUAGAGCAUGUUGGUGGGAAGCUAAGUGGGAGCACCCAGAAGGAAUAGUAACUUCUUACAGAACUUCCUCUCUCUAGCAUUGCCAAAAGGAGGAAAUAAACAUCUAAGUAAUCUGACUAUUCUUUGGUUG
rnacentral:sRNA from 1 species